AUUGGACUACCAUGGCAGUCACGGGUAACGGAGAAUUAGGGUUCGAUUCCGGAGAGGGAGCCUGAGAAACGGCUACCACAUCUACGGAAGGCAGCAGGCGCGCAAAUUGCCCAAUCCUGACACGGGGAGGCAGUGACAAGAAAUAACAACUCUAGGAUUUCUUAGAAGUGUAAUGAGGAUAAUUUACAAACCUUACCGAAUGCAAUUGGAGGGCAAGUCUGGUGCCAGCAGCCGCGGUAAUUCCAGCUCCAAUAGCGUAUAUUAAAGUUGUUGCAGUUAAAAAGCUCGUAGUUGAAGUUCUGAUUGCUCAGGUUUCCAGCCUUAGGCGGAGAUACUGACAGUCAUCCGCUUGCAAACAUAUGUUCGAUCUUCACCGGUUGGCUAUGUGAGUAAGCACUUUACCUUGAGAAAACAGAGUGUUCCAGGCAGGUUUGUCCGGAUGCAUUAGCAUGGAAUAAUAGAACAUGACUG
rnacentral:rRNA from 1 species